rnacentral:rRNA from 1 species
GAUGAACGCUGGCGGCGUGCCUAAUACAUGCAAGUCGAGCGAACGGACGCGAAGCUUGCUUCUCUGAUGUUAGCGGCGGACGGGUGAGUAACACGUGGAUAACCUACCUAUAAGACUGGGAUAACUUCGGGAAACCGGCGCUAAUACCGGAUAAUAUUUUGAACCGCAUGGUUCAAAAGUAAAAGACGGUCUUGCUGUCACUUAUAGAUGGAUCCGCGCUGCAUUAGCUAGUUGGUAAGGUAACGGCUUACCAAGGCAACGAUGCAUAGCCGACCUGAGAGGGUGAUCGGCCACACUGGAACGGAGACACGGUCCAGACUCCUACGGGAGGCAGCAGUAGGGAAUCUUCCGCAAUGGGCGAAAGCCUGACGGAGCAACGCCGCGUGAGUGAUGAAGGUCUUCGGAUCGUAAAACUCUGUUAUUAGGGAAGAACAUAUGUGUAAGUAACUGUGCACAUCUUGACGGUACCUAAUCAGAAAGCCACGGCUAACUACGUG